CAUUGCGAGAGCGUCGUUUGGAAAUUUUAAUUUAACGUCGGUUGAUAAAGCCAAGAUUUCUUAAAUUAUAGUAGAAAAUAAGAAGAAAUACUUCAUUGUUUGAAGAUUCAGACAUUAAUUUUAAAUGUAAGUGUUCAACUAUGUCAAUAUUUUUAAGUUUUGUGUGUAAAUAUGUGCCAUAAAUGGUAAUAUAUUCAUGUGUAUUUUAACCGCCAUUGCCGUUGGCCGCAUUGUAUUUUGUAUUUGGUUCAACAAUAUAUUGUUAUUAAAAUACAUUAAAAAAUAGUGAUAUUGCUUUGUAUUGACAGGUUAUAAUUUCAAGCAAUAAGUACUGUCAUAAUAUGUGUUCGAAGCAGGUCGAAUUGUCGAAAUCAUGAUAUAUACAGGCUACAAGAAGGUAUGAAAUAUAUACAAUUAUACAUUAGAUAGCACAAAGGAAGGAUUGUUCGCUCAUACAAAGCCAUGGAACUUGCUUUGGCGAUUAGAUAAAUAUUAGCUAAAUGAGUUAAUAUUGAUACCCUUUCAAUAGUGAUCAAUACAUUGUUGACUCAAUAGCUAUUAAUAUUGAUAUAAUCUCCAAAGCAAGUUCUAUGGCUUUGUAUUAGGCCCUGUUUACAUGAAACCACAACAAAGUCAAACCGGGACCAUUUUGUUUCUCUCAUAGUAUGAUCUAUAAUAGAUGUUUACAAGAGACCGGGAUGAAAAUAACUCGACAGACCAGUCUCAAGUCAAUAAUUCUGCCUGCUGGAUCAAGCCGAUUGACUUUAGACGGCAUGAAUUCAGACUGGGAUGAAUGUAAACACAAAUAUAUUUCAGACCGGUCUUGGCUGUAACCUUGACAUUGGGACAACAUAUGCUAACAAAAGCCAUCUGAACAAGAAAAUUGCCUAGCAAGGGGAAUAAAUUGAAAAUUUUGUGAUUUUUAUACUGAUCUCAUGUAAACAUGUUAACAAUUUCAAUUUUCCUUCCAGUUUGACUUCGUCCCGGUUUCAUGUAAAUGGGGCCUAAGAGCAGAACAAUCCUUCCUUUGUGUUAUCUAUAUUAUGCUAUCAUAGUAAAUAGCUGUAUUUCUAUUUAAUAUUCAGACAACCCAGGUAGACUGUUCCUAAAUUCCCUGAAUAUAUUGAGAAUACAUGUUUGAGUCCCUCAUACUAAAAUAUUGUUUAUAUGCCUCUGAGAGUUUCCAGGCUCACAAUUUUAUGCAUAAAGAAACUGUUUAAGAGGCCACAUCCAUAUUCAUGUUGCCACAACAACAUCGAAUCGACAUUAUGAGUGGGUGGGUUUUAUGUGUUCAAACUUAUCGCUGUUAUCUUGUGGCAAUUUGACAAUUAAUGCCAAUAAAUUAUCAAUAAUUGGUGUUAAAUUAUUAAUUGACAAUAAAUUUAUUACAGUAUCUACAAAUAAACUUGGAAUGUAAAAUAAUACCAAUUUUUAUUUUGUAGCCGACUCACCACAAAAAAUUACAAAUUGAGUUGCAUUAUGCCCUGAUAUGCCCUACUUUAUUAUUUAACUUUAUUUAAUGCCAGACUAUUUAACUGGUGCUUAAUGGGUUAACUGUCAUAUCUGCCCAUGUUCCUAGUUACCCCCAUCAUGUCAACUAUGCCACAUUGCACCCUACUUUAUUAUUUUACUUUGCCUAACGCCAGAUGAUUGUACUUGUCAAGGGGAGAGGGCUCCCGCUUAAUGGGUUAGAGUACCAUUUAACAGCAAAGAUUCUAUUGGUUACAAAUUACCUUUACCGGUAACAUAAACUUUCAUUUGGAUUUUGACUGAUAUAAACUGUAUUGAAAUGAUUCAACUGAAUCAAAGUACCGUGUGUAAUUGUGAAGUAUUUUCAAAAGUAGGUUGUUUAAUUACUGAUUGAAAAAUAAGAAAAUCAUUUAAAGAAAUUCUUAUUUUUCAGGUAGUUAAACAAUCUACUGUUUGCAACUGUAGUUAGUGAAUAGUCUACUUUGCUGUAUGAUUGAUUACAGUGAUUACAGGUUUUGAAGAAACAAUUGUUGAAUUAGUAUCUGUGCAUUUAUAUUAUGGACAUGGAUUAAACAAUUAACAUAGAUUAAGAUACUUAAUUGAAAGAACUUAAUCUAUAUGUGUAUGUAUACUGUACAGAAAUUUAUUCUAUGUUUAAAUCUUUUUGUGUAGGGGAUGCUCAACCCCCUUUAUCAGGAUCUCAACCCCUUGUCUAUUGGCUACUGGACCUCUGGAAGAGAUAAGUUUGAUUUCAUUGAUUGCAGAGGGAAUGUUUGUGAAAAAAUUCAAAUUGUGCAAUAUAGCCAACAACCCGCAGUUUAUGAUAAUGCACAAUUUAUGAUAAUGAUGAUAUUAUAUCAUUAAUGUAAUGCAUGUAUUGUACAUGCAGGAUAUACCGUAAAUCUCCAAAUAUAAGCCCCCCCCAUGUAUAAGUCCCCCCCCCCGUAUAAGCCCACCACAUGUACUAACGCUCACCUCAUUCCAAAUAUAAGCCCCCCCUGAAUAUAAGCCCACCCAAAUAUAAAUAAGCCCACUUGUUUAUCACUAUUACAACUAUUUAUCAUUAUUAUUACUAUGCUUGUUUAACACUUGUUUAUCACUAUUACUAUACUUGUUUAUUGCUAUUAAACUAACACAAAAGAUUGUCCAUGUAUACGCCCAUCAAAAAUCGCUUACGAAAGAAUGUAAGCCCAGGGCUUAUAGUUGGAAGUUUACGGUAUUGUCCUUAUCUUUAAUGACUAGAGUGUAGUACGAGGAGAGUUAUGGCGUCACAAUCAUGGUCUAUUUCUGUGAAUGUUUCUAUAUAGUGUAAACCUUAGGUGCA
rnacentral:lncRNA from 1 species